rnacentral:lncRNA from 1 species
CUUUCAGAGCCUUUGUGAAUAUUGUACAACUUUCAAGUCUAACCUACUUUUCCCUCUUUUUUUUUUUUUUUUUUUUUUCCUAGAAAUGUUCUGUAGUCCCUUAUGAAUGUUGCAAAAGAUUCACAAAUUCUGAGUGCUGCACAGAGUGGCAAAAAUUAACAUCUCCGAGAAUGUCAUUGAGAUGGGCAGAUGUCUCCCCCCAGCCCCAGUAGGCUCGACUUUGAUGAGACUGGCUUAAAAAGGAAAUUUUAAACCUCUCCAAACCUACAGGAAAAACGUGAUGCCAGUGGUGAAUUUGCUGCAAAUUCACCUGUUCUCCUGUGGAUCAAAACACGUUGGAAUAGAGUGAAAAACACUGCUUUAUACCCCAUUAAGUUUAUUAUGCUCUGCAUCCCUGAAUUUCUGCGUCUCCCGAGCGGCUGGAUGGAGGAAUUCUUUGGAUAAGACCGGGAUUUGGGUUUUUAGUUUUUCUCCUGUCUCCAGACAGAGAAAUCUCCAGCAAAUUUGUGAUCUUGUGCAGGAGAGAUCCUGGAGACCACUUCAAGCACCAGAGGUAGAAUUGUUUGGAGACGAUUUUUCCAGAGGCAUGAGGAUCCUUGCUGAUAAGGAAAAUAAAAGUUGAUU